CCAUGACCAAAACAAAACAUGAAUCUAUGUGCUUUUAUGCCUGUUUGUUUUCUAUGGUUUUUAACGCUGCUUUAUAUGUGCUUUUUUUUGCUGUAGGUGGCGAUGAUGGGGUGGUAGAAGAGAACAGAUCUACUAGGCUAGCUGUAGCUUCUCAAUGCCUGUAUGAUAUUUUGAUCCAAUCUUCUGUGGUAAAAGAUAAAAUAACACUUGGGAUCUGUAUGUGUUAUUAGCCCCUGUGGUACUCUGUUUGUUUCCAGGUCUGCAGAGUUUAGUUUCUGUAGAUAUUUGAGUUAAGAGGAGACUAAGCCAUGAAGUAAAAGAGAUGCCUAGUUUUUUUUUCCUUCAAUAUGGUAGCCAGCAUUGUAUCAUGUAGAAUUUUAAUCCAGGACAGAAGUGGUUCCAUGUAUAUGGGGGAAACCAAACCACACAAGAAGCUAUCAGCUAUGCCUGUUCUACUGUUGGUGUGGCUUCUCUAUCUCAUUAGGUACUGGUCUUCUGGACAUAACUUAUGAUGUGAUUACACUGGAUUCCUUUACACUGAAGUCAAAUCGGGGGCAGGCUAUUCAGCAAUGUUUCAGAAACAUGUUCACUGGAAUUCCGACA
rnacentral:lncRNA from 1 species